ncrna:unclassified sequences DTF3800-XI RNA
UGUGCUGUUCGAAAGACCCGGGUCCAUCAGCGGAUGGGGAGGUUCCCC